GUCUACUAGCAGUGGUCAGUGUCUGGGCCUCGACGGACACUUGAAGACAGUUGAGGACUGGUGCUUUAAAGAGAGCAAGAAUGGCCAUUGUGCAGACAGCACGUCCCGCCUCAUCAAGCCCUGCCCAGACAGACAUGUUCUCCAGACAACCCCAGCUAAGAUGGCGCCCUCUCUCUACUCUCUCUCACGCACACCUGCACCCAGAGGCGUAGAGGCAUGCUGCUGAUUGUGCGCAAUUACCUGGGGAAGAGGUGAUGUAAAUCAUUACAAAAUGAGUACAACCAAUUGGGCUAGAAUGGGAAGUCAUAGUAGUCACAAAAUAACAGCUGGAUCACCUGCUACGAUCUUCUCUUCAGUUGACAUGCUGUUCAUCACAUUACUAUGACUAUGGUCAAAUGAAAGACUCACUCUACUGUACCAUAUUAAACUAUAAUGUACUGUACUGAAUUACACUCUACUGUACUGUGUAAAACUAUAAUGUACUGUACUGAAUUAUACUGUGUAGUGUUGCACUAUUACAUACUGUACUGAACUAUACUGUACUGUAUUAAACUAUAAUGUACUGUACUGAAUUAUACUGUGCAGUGUUGAACUAUUACAUACUGUACUGAACUAUACUCUACUGUACUGUAUUAAACUAUAAUGUACUGUACUGAAUUAUACUGUGCAGUGUUGAACUAUUACAUACUGUACUGAACUAUACUCUACUGUACCAUAUUAAACUAUAAUGUACUGUACUGAAUUACACUCUACUGUACUGUGUUCAACUAUAAUGUACUGUACUGAAUUACACUCUACUGUACUGUGUUCAACUAUAAUGUACUGUACUGAAUUAUACUGUGCAGUGUUGCACCAUUACA